AGAUUCUGACACCUCCACUUCACACAAAACACUCCACUUUAGAGUUCCUUGGCCCCUUAAAGCAUUGCAUGCUACUCCCUCAAACCUUUUUCUGGUAUCAACAACACAUCUUGGCUGGUGGAAACUGCUUAAUAACAUUUGCAUGAAAAUGUGUUUAGUCAAGGUACCCUUUUCUCCUCUGGCCAAAUAUCAGCAUUCAAUCUAAUACAAAACACUUGAAUUCUCUCUGGCAGAAAAUGCAAUCCUG
rnacentral:lncRNA from 1 species